GCUUAUGAGGAAUUGAAACUUCGGUGCUUCUUGACGUCAGAGUUAUUGUCAUCGAGACAGCCUCAUGACCCUGUCACGUCCGGUUAUGCUGACGCUGUAAAUCAUUAAUAGAGCUUUCAGCCUUUUGGCUGCUGGGUCGCUUGCUUGUCUCUUAGCGAGGCGCCCGUAAAGCUCAGCCAAAGAAGUUGAAGAGAAUUCCUCACAGGUCAUCAUAGUUUAAAGUUUAAACGGAGAUUAGCUUGGUGGGAAGCGAGACGAGUCCAAUAUAUUAAAUACAUGUGUGGCCUGCAUUUGGGCAUCGACCCAUUCCUUGGUGACCCGGUUUGCCAUCAACUCUGAAGGUGCCAUCUUCCAUUUGUGCCUCCAUUUUGUCUUAUAUCAGAUAUGCAUUUACUCUGUUUUGUUUUAGCCCCACAGCUCGGCGACUGGCUGCACUCGAGCUUCGCAUCUCACUACCUAGGAUAGCACGCCUCGUUCCUCGUUGCUUGCCACUGCAGGUUGAUCGAGCUCGCGAACUUGGAGUCUCGUUGCUUGCUGGAACAUCAUGCCGUAACGACAGCCGCCCUCGAGCUUUGCAUCUCGCUGGCUAGCGACCUCGAGCCUCGCUCCUCACUGCUUGCUGCUGCCGGGUGUCCGAGCUUGCGAACUUGGGGUCUCGUUGCUAGCUGGGACAUCCUGCUGCGACGACAUCCGCCCUCGAGAUUUGCAUCUUGCUGCCUAGCGACCUUGAUCCUCGCCCAUCACUUCAUGCUGCCUCCGAGUGACCUCGAUCUCGCGAUUUCGAGGUUUGUUGAGUUCAGUCACUCGCUGCCCCAAGGAGCCUCUCUACUAUUCGAAAUCCUGAUACUGCUGUGAGUGGCUUUUCUCUCGCCAGGACAAACGGCGACAUGCUCGAUGUCAUUAUUGCUCGACCGCUCUCACCACGAGCGUCUUCGCCUGAGGAGCAGCGAGGACCACAUGCUUCUAUUACUCGGGACGGCUAGUCUUGCCACAGUACAACCCACAUUUUAUUUUCAGUUCUAUCGCAUCUCGCUGGUCGUGCCAUCGUGCUUUGCAUUUUGCCUGUCCACGCUUCCCGUUCACAUACCUCACGACGAUGGGAUUAACUUCUCGGGAUGUCUCACACGAACAAAAUCUACCUCAGCGAGCUGAGCUCACUUCUCUUGCAGCACAAUAACAGGGCAUGGCAGAUCUUAUUGCUUGCAGCCUCUUGGGACUUGCUGUUUACUGGUGGACAGGUUCUCGCGGUUAGGCGACCUCGGCUCUGGCUAACUAUUCAACUCUCGUUGCCUGCCACCGUAAUAUUCUCAUGCUAGCUAUGUGAAAGCGUCGGGUACCGACUGUUUCACCAAGCAGGAGUCGUAUUAAUUAUUUCAGCACAAACACAAAUACUUGAAAGAGGCUAUGAACCAGGGGCUGUCCAUCAUUCCCGUGGAAGUUGCAGUUGAGAUUAUAAAUCCAAUUGAUUAGAAUGGAAGAACUUUGCUCUCAUAGGAGUGAGAUAACGCAUUGUCGGAAAGGUGAUUUCUUCCGAGGAUAAACUGGGAUGUUGUCCCUGGUUAUUUCAUUCUCGCGCCAUAGCAGAUAUGACGAAGCCUUCGAUGACAAUCGGAACAAUGGCCUUUUUAUUUUUGUGUCAACUGCAGCUUGAGGCAUAGACCGAGGAAAAGAGAGAGAGUUGUCGGUGGGGAAAGGGACUGCAGCUGUUCUGUGAACGGAGAAGGAGACCGCAAUGGCUGCUAUAGCUCGGUGAGGAGGGACUCACAUCGAAAAAGCUUAGCUCGACCGUGUGUUGUCGGUUGGGAAGAGGAGCUCGACGACGAGCGGCCGGAGGUUACGGGCUCAGCUGUUGAGCUUGGAGGGAGGAGAACUCGUACGGACGAGGAGAUGAGAGGGAGAUCGAAGUUAAGAUUUCGAUGAUGUGUGCCAGUAUAGCUCGAAUGGCAGGAGGUCCCCCUUCCCCUCCUCUUGAUUUCUCUAGUGUUUCUUCUUGCCUGUGGUUCUUCUCUUGAAGAUGCGGGGGCCGCUAGUGUUAUUGGCACCAUAGAUCAAGGGAGACUAAGAGACGCAGCUGAUGGGGCUAUGGUGUCAUCGGAGAAUGGACGACCAGUAAGGGUGGAGCUCUACUAGUGGAUGCAUGUUUUAAGGGGGUCGGAUCUGAUAAAUUCCAGAAGCGACAAAGCACAGCCUUUUGUGCCUGUUCCCACAUAAGGCGCCAAAUGUUAGGGUGUAGAACCGAUGUCUUUGAGAUUCGAUCCAUGCUCCAAAUACAUGCAAAAGGGGAGAAUCGGGAGUGUUUCCCGAUUUCCUUUUCCGAUGAUCAAGUUAGCCUUUUCCGAUGAUCAAGUUAGCCGUUUGGGAUAGUACGUGUGUUCUUGAAUUAGUGAGAUGAAAGUAUAUAUAUGUGUGUGUGGUGAAAAAAUGAUAACCCUAGGACCUCCAUGAGUUGAACUCUCGAGAUCCCAUAACUUUAUUUUCGGGGCUUUAUUCUAGGUUCUCAACAAAAA